CGCGCAUGAAUGGAUUAAC
rnacentral:snRNA from 1 species